rnacentral:rRNA from 1 species
UGGGGAAUAUUGCACAAUGGGCGCAAGCCUGAUGCAGCCAUGCCGCGUGUAUGAAGAAGGCCUUCGGGUUGUAAAGUACUUUCAGCGGGGAGGAAGGUGUUGAGGCUAAUAACCUCAGCAAUUGACGUUACCCGCAGAAGAAGCACCGGCUAACUCCGUGCCAGCAGCCGCGGUAAUACGGAGGGUGCAAGCGUUAAUCGGAAUUACUGGGCGUAAAGCGCACGCAGGCGGUCUGUCAAGUCGGAUGUGAAAUCCCCGGGCUCAACCUGGGAACUGCAUUCGAAACUGGCAGGCUAGAGUCUUGUGGAGGGGGGUAGAAUUCCAGGUGUAGCGGUGAAAUGCGUAGAGAUCUGGAGGAAUACCGGUGGCGAAGGCGGCCCCCUGGACAAAGACUGACGCUCAGGUGCGAAAGCGUGGGGAGCAAACA